rnacentral:misc_RNA from 1 species
GAUGAAGAACGCAGCGAAAUGCGAUACGUAAUGUGAAUUGCAAAUUCAGUGAAUCAUCGAGUCUUUGAACGCACAUUGCGCCCCCUGGUAUUCCGGGGGGCAUGCCUGUCCGAGCGUCAUUGCUGCCCUCAAGCACGGCUUGUGUGUUGGGCCCCGUCCUCCGAUCCCGGGGGACGGGCCCGAAAGGCAGCGGCGGCACCGCGUCCGGUCCUCGAGCGUAUGGGGCUUUGUCACCCGCUCUGUAGGCCCGGCCGGUGCUUGCCGAUCAACCCAAAUUUUUAUCCAGGUUGACCUCGGAUCAGGUAGGGAUACCCGCUGAACUUAAGCAUAUCAAUAGCGGAGGA